GAUGAAGAACGUAGCGAAAUGCGAUAAGUAAUGUGAAUUGCAGAAUUCAGUGAAUCAUCGAAUCUUUGAACGCACAUUGCGCCCGCCAGUAUUCUGGCGGGCAUGCCUGUCUGAGCGUCAUUUCAACCCUCAUGCCCCUAGGGCGUGGUGUUGGGGAUCGGCCAAAGCCCGCGAGGGACGGCCGGCCCCUAAAUCUAGUGGCGGACCCGUCGUGGCCUCCUCUGCGAAGUAGUGAUAUUCCGCAUCGGAGAGCGACGAGCCCCUGCCGUUAAACCCCCAACUUUCCAAGGUUGACCUCAGAUCAGGUAGAAAUACCCGCUGAACUUAAGCAUAUCAAUAAGCGGAGGA
rnacentral:misc_RNA from 1 species